UCCCGCAGCCCUCUCUUUGGGCGUUUCCUCCCUAGACUUCGGGCCACUCGCGAGAGUGGCCUUUUUUCUUGGCCUGG
rnacentral:sRNA from 1 species